ACUAUAAAUAAAUAUAUCUGAGGUUGAAUUCCGCUUGAAAAUCUAACAUCAAAUUUAAUGUACAUUAAUAAUAUUUUAUAUUAAUUAUUAAAAUAACAAACAUAUAUACAUAUAAAAUCUACCUCACCAUUAUUUGAUGAGACUUAAAUUUUUAAUCUCGAGAAUGAGCCAAUGAGAUGUAAACCACUAAACUAACUAAAAAAUUGUUGACACAAGAUAAUUCAUUUAGGAAGAGGUUAAGAAUCUAUAUCUUGCGCGUGCACGCUGAUCUUAAAGGGACAAUAGUUUACUUUUGGUUGAAAUGAGGUGGGGAAGGAUGUUGGAGGUAGGUGACUAAAAGAAAAGGAUCCAAAUAAUAAUUUGUUACUUCUGUUUCAUUCAGUAACAAUAAUGAAAAUGUUAAGGGUUCUAACGAAAUUAUCCGAAGAAACUUGGAACAAACGGAACAGCUGUUUUUAUUUUAUUAUUAUUAUAUUUUUUUCAAAUUCUUUUUCACCUGGCACACCGCCCAUCGAUUUUUGUUCCAUAGGCUUGGCCCCCAAGCUGACUUUUGCGGUACGUUGGUUCUACGCGGUUUUAGCCCAAAACCCAAUUUUUGACCUGCCCGGCCUGCCCGUUUAUUUUGGCGGGAACUAGAAAUUUUGGUUGUUAAAUUUUGGCGCCAAAAACUGGAAACCGGCCCGGGAAAAUCGGGGACGGCAAUCUCUGUUUGGUUUCAGUUUUUAGAUUAUUCUGGCCCCACAAUUUCUCUGUUUAGGAUUCGGCCUUUCUUCGUACCUGUUUACAGUGAUCAAAUUGGAUGGCUCUGUUUUUGUCACCGGUCGGGGCCCACUUGUUCCCAAUCUAGACCGUUGAAAUGCGUGUGCUCGUGAUUAACCCAUCUCAUAACUCAUGCAUACUUGAUUAUAGAAUGUUGAUCCAGUCUUUUAUCGUCCUCUUCAUUUUAUAAACAUUUUAAAUUUUUUAUUCUAAA
rnacentral:lncRNA from 1 species